UUACACUUAAACGAUGCAAUCCCUACCUCUAUUGCAUCCUCACGGCUCCUAGGCCGCUCCAGUCUGAAUAAGUACUUCUAAUUAAAA
rfam:Terribacillus aidingensis strain MP602, complete genome.